GUAAUACCAAAAAUUAAAAGAUGAAGGCGGCUGCACACUAAUAAGCCUGCGUUUACCACGUGGCGCAUUUCGAUAGUAGUAAUGUUUAAGAUGAAUUGACCAAUAAUAAUAAUAAAAUAAAUACAUGGAGAAGUUGCUUAUAAUAAAAUAAAUACAUGGAGAAGUUGCUUAUAAAUAUUCGUUCGAAAAAAUCAAGCUAACCAAACUCGAUUUGGAAUCUUGCUCGACUCAUUAAUUAAAUGAGCCUCAAUCAAAUUUUAUUUUAUACUAAAUAAAUUUUGUGAACCAAAUUUAAACAACUCAAUACUCGGAUAGACUCGAUUCGUUUACACCCAAAACUACCAUAACAAUUAAAAAAAAUUAAUAAAUUCACAACAAAAAAUAAUAUUUUCACACAAAAAUCAUCAUAUAUACACCAUGAAACAGAGUAGUGGACAAAUUUAGUGUGAAAUUUGAUUAUGUAACUGACCAUAUAUUAUCCCACACUCUUUUCACUACAUAAUAAUUUCCCAAAUCACCAAAAAAAAUAAAAACAAAUUUUAAUUUAACAAUAUAACAAUGAAAAAGGAAAAAAAAAAUUAUAAAUUUAACUCCUACCAGAAACAAGAAGAAGGCCAAGAAAGGCCAUUUGAUCUGCAACAGUUGUUGUUUUGGAGGCGAAGAAACUUUCUCUUCCUAGUAGAGUAAAAAAAGAAGCCAUGUUUGAGCCUGAACCAGACAAUCUUCCGGAGCUUUCGGACGGAUCUAAGCCUGACCCGAAUGACCUUCUUGACCCCAAAGAAAGAUUUCUUGAUUCUCUCUGAAAGGCUCUGUUUUCUGGAGAAGUGGUAACUCCUGAUAAAAAGCUGCCUCUUUUCCAUAUCUGUGUAACCCAUUUCGGGCCUGAAUAUUGGGACUAAACCCAUUUGACUUGCAGCCAUUUUUGUCUGUAGAUUUUGCAAAUUUUUAUUAUGUAGAAACAGGGAGAAAAACAGAACACAAAAGAGAAGAAAAAAGAAGGGAGAGGAGAGAGAAAUUAGUGCGAGAAUAGGGAAUUGAGCAGCCGAGCAGGGGUUAUAAAUGAGUUGUUCGAGUGGGAUGGGAUUAGCAUAAAUUUAACUUAAUAAUAAUUUAAUAUGUACAGAUUAUUUUUUGAUCAGUGUAUUAUAUUAUAUUCAUCAAUUAAUUAAAAUUAAUUUUAUAUUAAUCGAUCGAUGUUUGGACUUUGAGUCUCUUAUUUUUAACCUUUUAUUUUUUUUAUUCAACCGUCUUUUAUUAUUUAUCUUUUUAGGAUACAUAUAUUCCCUCCGUUCCAUGAUAAAAAAAUUUAUUAUUAUUUUAGGUAAUUCUAUAUUAAAUGUCUAUUUUUUUUUAAUGAUUAAACUUUUACACAUUUUUUUUAAGGAAUUAUUAAAUCCAUAACACUUUUUAUUAUUUUCACAACAAAAGUGUCAUUGUAGAUAUAUAGCGACGGUGAAAAUCAUCGCUAUAUGAUCUAUAACGACACUUUUGUUGUGAAAAUAACAUUUUAUGUUGUGGAUUUAACAAUUUCUUUUUUCUUAUUAUGUCUGUAGCAUUAAAUAUCUCAUACUUUUCUUAUUCUAAUUCUCUCCAUAUUUAAUAAGUAUGGAGAGAGAAUAUUUUGAAUUGAAUAGCUAAAAAAUUAUUUUCUCAUCUACAUUGAAAAUUAUUAAUGACAUAUUAUUAUGGAUAAUUUUGUUAUUUCAUUUCUCUUCUUAAUAUGUGUGAAAAAAUAAUAAAUGCUAUAUUUUUUUAGCUAAAAAUAAUUUUAAAUGUUAAUAUAAUCCUUGCAUUGAAAUAAAAAAAAGUAUUACUUAUUUGAUAGAAAAUAAUGAUAAAACCAAAAUUAUAUUUAAUACUUAUAUUAAUAUUAAAAACUAAAUAAUUAAUAAUUAAUUAAAAUUUUCAAAUAACAAAUAUUAAAAAACAAAAACAGUCUUUUAAAAUACUCCUUCCGUUCCUAAAAGAUUGUCGUUUUAGAAGAAAAAAUUUAUUUUAAAAAAUUUGUCGUUUACAACUUUCAAGAAAAAUAAAUUAUUUACUUUCCUAUAUUGCCUGUACCUUUUUUCAUUGUCCCAAAAAAUUUUCUUUUUUGUAUUAAUAGUUUUUAAUUUCUCAUAAAAGGAUAGUGAUAAAAUUUCAAAUAAAUUUUAUUUGAAAAAUGAUACUUUCUAAAAUCUUAAAUAACAAUAUUUUAGGAACGGAUGUAGUGACAUUUAAAAAGAGAAGGAAGGAGUAUGAUUAUUUUUUUUCUCAUUAAAUAUUGAUUCAUUAUUUAUCUGGACAAGUUAAAGUCAUACCCGCUUUAAAUUAUUGUUGCGUUGAGAUUUGAGGAGAAAGACAUGACGCGGUCGGAGUGGUGUACGCAAGUGUAUAGGAAAAGAUUUCUUCUUUUUAUUUAAUAUUUUUACGAAUAAAAAUAUUAAUUUCUCAAUAUUUAUUCAUGCGACAGAGUGAGAAAAAAAAUUAUAAAAUCAACAUUUUUACUUGUGUAGAUUUUUAUUUUUAUUUUUAUUUAGUUUGUGUUUAAUGAUUCAGUCAUAAUUGUUUUUAGAGUUCAUUUGCUUGAAUCAUAUUUUUAGACUUCUUUUUUAUUUCAUAUUUUCUUAAUUGUAUUUAGAAAGGGUUAUGCAGAUUGUACAGAUCAUGUUUUUUAUAUGUAUCUAAAUUAUACCUAAAACACUAUUUUUUAUAAAAAUUUCAGUUAAAAUAAAUAUUAAAUAUUUUUUAAGAGGUACUACAAUAAAAAUAUCAGUAGAAUGUCGUUCAAAAAUAUACCCCUAAAAGGACUGUUUAUCGGACGAGUGGAAGUGGUUAGUAUGAAGUUUAUUUUUGGGUAAGUUGGUCAAUUGAUCAAUAGAGUGCUGACACGCAGGCGAAGUUUUAUGUAUGUCAGUAUUUUAUUAGUUAAUUGACCAAUUUAUUAAAAAAUAAACUUCAUGUUAACCGGAUUCUAUUUUAUACGUGGGACGGGGUGGGUACUACUUUAUAUAUUGGUGAUUGGUGGGUAAGGGUGUAAACGAACCGAGUCGAUCCGAGUAUUGAGUUGCUCAAAUUUGGUUCACAAAAUUUAUCGAGUAUAAAAUAAAGUUUAAUUGAGGUUCAUUUAGCUAUCGAGUCGAGCACAAUUUCGAAUCGAGCCCGAGCAGUUUGAACUUUUCGAACGAAUAUGAUCCGAGUAUCAAUAGAAAAUUACAAUUUUAGUAGAUUCGAGUAAUUUAUCGAACUUUAAAAUGUGCUCAUAUUUGACUCAUUUAUAUUUCGAGUCGAGCUCGAAUCGAAUUUUUAGUCGAGCGAGUACGAAUCGAGCCCGAACUAUUUGCUCAUUUUACAGCUUUAUUGGUGUGGUGGGGUGUGGGGUGUCACGUGACGUUAGUGAGUUUUAUUUAUAUGUUUGUCGUUUUGCCUUUAUUUUUCUCACACGUACACGUUUCUCUGUCUCUCCUCGUGAUGGUUCAAAAUGGGAUGCUGACGUAGAUAUCAAUCCACGUCACCUACUUUGACUUUUGGUAUUUCUUUUUUUUAUUUUAAAGUCACGUUUCUUUUUCUUUUCUCGUUUUUCAUGUUAUAUUUAAGGGAAUUAUUAAAUCCACAUCAUAUUUUAUUAUUUUCAUAAUAAAAGUAUCGUUGUAGAUGUAUAGCGAUAGUAAAAACCGUCGCUAUAGAAUCUAUAGCGACACUUUUGUUGUGAAAAUAACAUUUUUUAUUAUGAAUUUAAUAAUUUCCUAUAUUUAAUUCAAAAGUUGGAGGAGUGAGAAAACUGAAAAUUCACAAGAUGAGAAAAAUAAUAAUUUUGGUACUUAUUUUAUUCCAUAUCCUUCUCUCAAAAUGAUACACCUUCAUUCUAUAUAAAUAUAUAUAAAAAAUAAAAACAAAAAAUUCCUAUUGUAAAAUUUAUAAGCAGAUUUUUAUUUUUGUUUCAUAUUUAUCUUUGAAAGUAUAAAAUUUUAGCUUAAUCUUAAUAAUAUGAUGAUAAAAUUAUAAUAGUAAAUUUUAAGAUAUUGUGUCGUUUUAAAUAUAAUUUUUUUAUAAAUUUUUAUUGGGAGAUUCAAAAUGAGUUUAUUUUUCAAAUUAAUGAACAAAUCUUUGUUACAUUUUUCUGGUCAUAGACCAUCUUAUUAAAGUCAAACUGCCUUCAACAACUUUAGCUCUCGAAAAUGUUGUAUGACUUUUUAUAAUUUGACAUUCCUAAGAAUGUUAUUGGCACUCCCUGCCACUAGAGUAAUCCAAAUUAGAACACUGAUCCGGAGUAUUGAUUUUUUUGUACUUGCUAUCAUUGUCAGUAUUAAGGUAUCCAUGAACAAGACAACAACUGAUAUAUAUAUAACCCGGCUCUGUUUAGCGAACCGGUUAUAGCGAUGGAAAAACCGUCGUUAUAACAUAAAAAAAUCGAUUUUCUAUGCUAUAGCGACGGAAAAAAUCGUCGCUAUAGCCAGUUCAUUUUUAGUUCGCUCCUUCCGAUUUAUUAGAGAAGCGAAUUUUAUAUAUAUAUAUAUAUAUAUAUAUAUAUAUAUAUAUGUGUGUGUGUGUGUGUGUGUGUGUGUGUGUGUGUGUGUGUGUGUUCAGGGAGGUUCUCCAACGAGAACUUUUCCGUAUAUAUAUGUGUGUAAAUAUAUAUAGAUAUACGGUUCGUCUCUCUAGCGAACUAUAGGGAGAAAACUAAAAACGAACCGACUAUAGCGACGAUUUUAUCUGUCGUUUUUAGUUCGUUCCCUAUGAUUCGCUGCAUAUAGUCAGUCUAUAGAUAUAUAUGCAUCAUAUUUAUAAUCAAAGUUUGUUGUAGUCAACAGUCCAUCAAAUAAUUGGACAAACAUAUUUUUAACUAUCUUCUGUCCAGCUGUUUGACAUAUACGUCAAACAAACAAUUGAGUGAAUGCUAGUGUUAAAAUUCGUCUACACAACGAAUGUUAAAUUGUUAACUACAAUAAAUGUUAAUUGUGAACAUACCCAUAAACAUUAUAAAUGAGUUUGUAGUAUUAUGUAGAGGUUAAAAAUGGAUUCUGAGCUAAUGGAAGCUGGAUUAGAACCAUGAUUCUACUGCAUUUUGAGCUUGGUUUAUUACUUUAUUUGAUAAGUCAAUCAGCAUCUUCAAUAGCAAAAAAGAGAGUUUAAA
rnacentral:lncRNA from 1 species